rnacentral:lncRNA from 1 species
CAUGAAAGAAAGAAUCCUCAAUAUUUGUGGUGGAUAAAUAGCAUUGCUUCUCAAUACAGUGUACAGUGUAAGGAAAUUCUCCCUUAAAAAUUCAACAGAUAUGUUAAAAAAUGGAAGUAAAUUCUGGGCCAGAUACGUCAAGGACAUUUCAAACAUAGAAACAGCAUUAAUAUUCCAAAAACUGUAUCCCUUAUUGAAAUUUCACACAAAAGGCAAAAUGGUUGGCCAAAGGCUAUGAUCAAAGAUAUCAGCAUGAAACGUAGAAUAAAUAUGAAUCUUCCUGAUCCAGGAAAAGUGACCACAGGAGACCCUUGAAGGUCCAAAAGAAAGACCUUAAAACCAACACAUACUGGCAAAAGGAUUCUUUGCAGGUUAAUUAAAACUGAUAUAAUGCACUAUAAAUUGUUUGUGUCAAAUAAUGCACUGAGGGGAAAUUUAAACCUAAAUAUAACUGAUAAUUGGAAGAUUAAACAGAUCUGUGAUAUGAAUAAUAAUGACAGUAUCACCAAGUGCCUCAUUCUUGUUUAGCACAUUAGCAUGUGUACCAAAUGCUUUUGAAAAUGCUCUCUCUUCUGGUCCAAAUUUUCCAGAAUCAGGCUCUUCUCCCCAGAAUGCUGUGGCUGACAAAGAAAAUAUAGGAACAGGCGGUGAGGAGAAAGCUGGUCAGAGCAAAUAUCACACCGAAACAGGUCUGUUGAAAGCCCAAGGAGGACUGCUGAGAGGGAUGCAGAUGCUUCCUAGAAGAGUCCUCCUUUCGUGGGAUCCCUGUUGGCUGAGGUUUGUCCUGGGGGUGAAUUCCUGA